CAAGCGUGGAUGAUGUGGAUUAAUUCGAUGCAACGCGAAGAACCUUACCUACCCUUGACAUGUCCGGAACUUGCCAGAGAUGGCUUGGUGCCCGAAAGGGAAAUCGGAACACAGGUGCUGCAUGGCUGUCGUCAGCUCGUGUCGUGAGAUGUUGGGUUAAGUCCCGCAACGAGCGCAACCCUUAUCAUUAGUUGCUACGCAAGGGCACUCUAAUGAGACUGCCGGUGACAAACCGGAGGAAGGUGGGGAUGACGUCAAGUCCUCAUGGCCCUUAUGGGUAGGGCUUCACACGUCAUACAAUGGUCGGUACAGAGGGUUGCCAAGCCGCGAGGCGGAGCCAAUCCCACAAAGCCGAUCGUAGUCCGGAUUGUUCUCUGCAACUCGAGAGCAUGAAGUCGGAAUCGCUAGUAAUCGCAGGUCAGCAUACUGCGGUGAAUACGUUCCCGGGUCUU
rnacentral:rRNA from 1 species